rnacentral:rRNA from 1 species
GCAGUAGCCGCGGUAAUACGUAGGGUGCAAGCGUUAAUCGGAAUUACUGGGCGUAAAGCGUGCGCAGGCGGUUUGUUAAGACAGAUGUGAAAUCCCCGGGCUCAACCUGGGAACUGCAUUUGUGACUGGCAAGCUAGAGUAUGGCAGAGGUGAGUGAAAUUUCCGGUGUAGCGGUGAAAUGCGUAGAUAUCGGAAGGAACACCUGUGGCGAAAGCGGCUCACUGGACAAUAACUGACGCUGAUGCACGAAAGCUAGGGGAGCAAACAGGAUUAGAUACCCGUGUAGUCCCUGUCUCUUAUAC